rnacentral:rRNA from 1 species
GACGAACGCUGGCGGCGUGCUUAACACAUGCAAGUCGAACGGAAAGGCCUCUUUCGGGGGGUACUCGAGUGGCGAACGGGUGAGUAACACGUGAGUAACCUGCCCUUGACUUUGGGAUAACUUCAGGAAACUGGGGCUAAUACCGGAUAGGAGCUCCUGCUGCAUGGUGGGGGUUGGAAAGUUUCGGCGGUUGGGGAUGGACUCGCGGCUUAUCAGCUUGUUGGUGGGGUAGUGGCUUACCAAGGCUUUGACGGGUAGCCGGCCUGAGAGGGUGACCGGCCACAUUGGGGACUGAGAUACGGCCCAGACUCCUACGGGAGGCAGCAGUGGGGAAUAUUGCACAAUGGGUGGAAGCCUGAUGCAGCAACGCCGUGUGCGGGAUGACGGCCUC